AUUAUUACAUUAUUGGAUUUAUUGGCGUCUCGGUCUCUACCGGUUUGUAUACAAGAUAAUGAUCCUCCCGCUUCUUCCGGUCGAGGCCGAAAGCUGUCCUCCGUUGUUUACAUGUUAGCUAACUGGCGAAAAAAAAUGCUAACAGCUUUUCUAAAAUGACGGUUUGCAGUUGAUCAGGUUAAUGUAUUUAUAACCGUUUGCAUCAGUAUUUCUCUCUGUUGUUGUUGGGCCAUGGCUUUAGCUUGCUGCUGGUGCUGUCUCUGGGUAACGUUACCGCUCGUCCUACUGCGGUGGCCGGGGCUGCUGGUCGCCGCGGAGCAGGUCGCUCUGGUGGAGGUUUUCCUGGAGCAGCGGCCCGGCGUCAGCGCUCUGCUCCAGGGGGAGGUGGUGGAGUCCGGCAGGGGCAGCAGGAGCUCCGGCCACCGGGACGAAGAGCUGGAGGGAGAGCUGGUCCUGGUCCAGAAUGAGGAGACGCAGGUGAGCGCAGGAAAAGGCGAGGAUGACACCAAAGAGCAGGAGCCGUGGAUAGGAUUGGUGCCUGUGGAGAUGGAUGACAGCAAAGCCUCCACCGGAAACCAGGAGUCCUUUACUGAUGCUAUGGUCAAUAAGAUGAAGCGAGCAUUGGUCCUUGGAGCAUCUGCACUGAUCAUUCUAGCUCUCAACCAAAACACUGUCAGUGAGAUGGAUCUGUCUCAGGUGCUGUCCAAGCCCAUUAUUGUGAUCCAGACGUCUGAAAAUGUCACCAAACUGAUCGGAGCUCUGCUCAGGGGUCUUCAAGCGACAGCAAAAAUCACAUACAAGACGAUCCUGCAGGACAACCUGGGAGCCACGCUCACGCUGUGGUCCAGCUGUGGUCGAUCGAGAGGAGGUCGCUACGGAGAGUGGCAGGGGGUCAUCUGCACGGGAGAGACCAACUCUCAGGUCCAGAAGUACCUGCAGCAGCUGUGGGACACUGUACUCCUGGUGGCUCUGAUCAUCAGCACCGGAGUCAUCGUUCAGGCUCGCUGGCAGUACCAGGACCACCAGCUGAACGACGACUUGGAGCUCUUUCCGAAACAGGAUGUCCUGAAGAGAAUGUCGUCCCUGAAGACCAAAACGUAUCGUCAGCCCAAACCGUGGUGUGACCCGUCCCAGCCGGCGGAGACGGACAACUGUGCAGUCUGUCUGGAGCCAUUCAACAACAACCAGUGUCUACGUGUGCUGCCGUGUCUUCAUGAGUACCACAGAGAUUGUGUCGACCCCUGGCUGCUGCUGCAUCACACCUGUCCUCUGUGCAAACGCAGCAUCCUCGGCAGCGUCUGCAGAGACAGUUAACGGCUGCCUCGCCUCCCCCGCCGCAGCUCUGGGAAUCAAGUCUCGUCUCUUCCUCAGUGACACUCAGCCGUUUUUUUAUUCUGACCUCGCCGCUUCCUUCUUCCAGCAAUGGAUUGUGGGAGCAAAUAUAAACUUAUCACAGCAGCUGGCCGGCCGCCUGGACUGUGGAGUGGUCAGAUUUUGACAUCUGACCUUCGGAAGGUCUGUGUGAAGAGGUCAAACAGUCCUGCUCUAAUGGUCAAACAGAUGAGAACUGUCCCAUCAGAAGGUCAUCUCAUUCAUCAUGAGAUAAACAUGUCCUCAUACUUACCUCUGAUGUACGGCUGCACUGGCUCUAUGCGAAGGUAACAAAAGCCGCCUACCAGCACCUCUAAAACGUAUUAACUCGUUAUAUCUCGUUUAUUCAAUCCAUACAAAUAUCAAAGCGUAAAAAUGACAUGUUGUGGUUUUAAGGUGGAUAAGUGCAGGACUAUCUGAUGGCUGGGAGCAGCAACUCCCUGGAGUCUCUGACGAUAGGCAACCUCACCUCAAAA